rnacentral:rRNA from 1 species
GAUGAACGCUGGCGGCGUGCUUAACACAUGCAAGUCGAACGAGAAAUGUAGACGGAAACCUUCGGGCGGAAGCCUUCAUUUCGAGUGGCGGACGGGUGAUUAACGCGUGGGUAACCUGCCUCAUACAGGGGGAUAACAGUUGGAAACGACUGUUAAUACCGCAUAAGACCACAGCAUCGCAUGAUGCGGGGGUAAAAACUCCGGUGGUAUGAGAUGGACCCGCGUUCGAUUAGCCAGUUGGCGGGGUAACGGCCCACCAAAGCGACGAUCGAUAGCCGAUCUGAGAGGAUGACCGGCCACAUUGGGACUGAGACACGGCCCAAACUCCUACGGGAGGCAGCAGUGGGGAAUAUUGCACAAUGGGGGAAACCCUGAUGCAGCGACGCCGCGUGAGUGAAGAAGUACUUCGGUAUGUAAAGCUCUAUCAGCAGGGAAGAAAAUGACGGUACCUGAGUAAGAAGCCCCGGCUAACUACGUG